GCGCAGCAGUCGCGAAACCUUCGCAAUGCGGGAAACCGCGACGAGGGGACUCCCAGUGCCUACGCUCAGCGUAGGCUGUUCCCGAGCCUAGAAAGCUCGGGGAGUAAGGGCUGGGUAAGACGGGUGCCAGCCGCCGCGGUAAUACCCGCAGCCCGAGUGGUGGCCACUAUUAUUGGGCCUAAAGCGUCCGUAGCCGGCCCGGUAAAUGCCUGGGUAAAUCGUGAGGCCUAACCUCACGAAUUCCGGGUAGACUGCCGGGCUAGGGACCGGAGGAGGGAGAGGGUACUCCGAGGGGUAGGGGUGAAAUCCUGUAAUCCCUGGAGGACCACCGGUGGCGAAGGCGCUCUCCUAGGACGGGUCCGACGGUGAGGGACGAAAGCCAGGGGAGCGAACCGGAUUAGAUACCCCCGUAGUCC
rnacentral:rRNA from 1 species